GACGAACGCUGGCGGCGUGCCUAAUACAUGCAAGUUGAGCGAUGAAGAUUGGUGCUUGCACCAAUUUGAAGAGCAGCGAACGGGUGAGUAACGCGUGGGGAAUCUGCCUUUGAGCGGGGGACAACAUUUGGAAACGAAUGCUAAUACCGCAUAAUAACUUUAAACAUAAGUUUUAAGUUUGAAAGAUGCAAUUGCAUCACUCAAAGAUGAUCCCGCGUUGUAUUAGCUAGUUGGUGAGGUAAAGGCUCACCAAGGCGAUGAUACAUAGCCGACCUGAGAGGGUGAUCGGCCACAUUGGGACUGAGACACGGCCCAAACUCCUACGGGAGGCAGCAGUAGGGAAUCUUCGGCAAUGGACGGAAGUCUGACCGAGCAACGCCGCGUGAGUGAAGAAGGUUUUCGGAUCGUAAAACUCUGUUGGUAGAGAAGAACGUUGGUGAGAGUGGAAAGCCCAUCAAGUGACGGUAACUACCCAGAAAGGGACGGCUAACUACGUG
rnacentral:rRNA from 1 species